rnacentral:rRNA from 1 species
ACUGAGUGGCGGACGGGUGAGUAACGCGUGGGUAACCUGCCUCAUACAGGGGGAUAACAGUUAGAAAUGACUGCUAAUACCGCAUAAGACCACAGUACCGCAUGGUACAGGGGUAAAAACUCCGGUGGUAUGAGAUGGACCCGCGUCUGAUUAGGUAGUUGGUGGGGUAACGGCCUACCAAGCCGACGAUCAGUAGCCGACCUGAGAGGGUGACCGGCCACAUUGGAACUGAGACACGGUCCAA